GGAGGGAGCUAGCGUUGUUCGGAAUUACUGGGGCGUAAAAGCGCACGUAGGCGGCUUUGUAAGUCAGAGGGGUGAAAGCCUGGAGCUCAACUCCAGAACUGCCUUUGAGACUGCAUCGCUUGAAUCCCAGGAGAGGUGAGUGGAAUUCCGAGUGUAGAGGUGAAAUUCGUAGAUAUUCGGAAGAACACCAGUGGCGAAGGCGGCUCACUGGACUGGUAUUGACGCUGAGGUGCGAAAGACGUGGGGAGGCAAACAGGAUUAGAUACCCUCGGUAGUCCACGCCGUAAACGAUGAUAACUAGCUGUCCGGGCACUUGGUGCUUGGGUGGCGCAGCUAACGCAUUAAGUUAUCCGCCUGGGGAGUACGGUCGCAAGAUUA
rnacentral:rRNA from 1 species